UACGUAGGGUGCGAGCGUUGUCCGGAAUUAUUGGGCGUAAAGGGCUCGUAGGCGGUUUGUCGCGUCGGGAGUGAAAACAUCGGGCUUAACUCGGUGCUUGCUUUCGAUACGGGCAGACUAGAGGCAUGCAGGGGAGAACGGAAUUCCUGGUGUAGCGGUGAAAUGCGCAGAUAUCAGGAGGAACACCGGUGGCGAAGGCGGUUCUCUGGGCAUGUCCUGACGCUGAGGAGCGAAAGUGUGGGGAGCGAACAGG
rnacentral:rRNA from 1 species